GAGCUAUAACGCUAUCUUUUUUAGAU
rnacentral:rRNA from 1 species